rnacentral:rRNA from 1 species
CAUGCCGUAAACGUUGGGCACUAGGUGUGGGGGACAUUCCACGUUCUCCGCGCCGUAGCUAACGCAUUAAGUGCCCCGCCUGGGGAGUACGGUCGCAAGGCUAAAACUCAAAGGAAUUGACGGGGGCCCGCACAAGCGGCGGAGCAUGCGGAUUAAUUCGAUGCAACGCGAAGAACCUUACCAAGGCUUGACAUACACUGGACCGUUCUGGAAACAGUUCUUCUCUUUGGAGCUGGUGUACAGGUGG